rnacentral:rRNA from 1 species
AGAGUUGUAUCCUGGCUCAGAUUGAACGCUGGCGGCAUGCCUUACACAUGCAAGUCGAACGGUAACAGGCCGCAAGGUGCUGACGAGUGGCGAACGGGUGAGUAAUGCAUCGGAACGUGCCCAGUCGUGGGGGAUAACUGCUCGAAAGAGCAGCUAAUACCGCAUACGACCUGAGGGUGAAAGCGGGGGACCGUAAGGCCUCGCGCGAUUGGAGCGGCCGAUGUCAGAUUAGCUAGUUGGUGGGGUAAAGGCCUACCAAGGCAACGAUCUGUAGUUGGUCUGAGAGGACGACCAGCCACACUGGGACUGAGACACGGCCCAGACUCCUACGGGAGGCAGCAGUGGGGAAUUUUGGACAAUGGGCGCAAGCCUGAUCCAGCAAUGCCGCGUGCAGGAAGAAGGCCUUCGGGUUGUAAACUGCUUUUGUCAGGGAAGAAAUCCUCUGGGUUAAUACCUCGGGGGGAUGACGGUACCUGAAGAAUAAGCACCGGCUAACUACGUGCCAGCAGCCGCGGUAAUACGUAGGGUGCAAGCGUUAAUCGGAAUUACUGGGCGUAAAGCGUGCGCAGGCGGUCUUGCAAGACAGAGGUGAAAUCCCCGGGCUCAACCUGGGAACUGCCUUUGUGACUGCAAGGCUAGAGUACGGCAGAGGGGGAUGGAAUUCCGCGUGUAGC